AAGUCAGCGUUCUCAGCCAUCGAAGUCAUAUUAUAUCACAGAAGAUUUAAAAAAAAAAAGAAAAAUAAAAAUAAAAAAAGCCGUAAGUAGGUCAGCUGGACAGGUCAGAGUUUCUCAAAGACGUUGCGACACGCAUCCAAACAUGUCUGACCUGACAACUUGCCCAGUUUUUCAGAAGCUACUUGUAUCAUCUUUACAACAGCAGCUGUCCUUUCAACUUCAACUUCAACUGUUUCAACUUGGAUUAUUAUCAUUUUGUUUCUUUUUUGGACAUGCUACUAAAAUAUUUUGUCUGAUGAGCAGCCUUUAAAGCGACUGAGAAGACGGCUGCAGUCUUUUGAGCAGAUGGCGCUGUGCUGGAGUGGGGCCCAGCAUGAACUUGACCUCCUGCGAAGAGGGCUGCAUGAACACCUGGGGAUCUUUAUGUUCCUCAAGGGGACAGCAGCGCAGGUUGGACGGUGGAUUUCCUUGGCCCCCGACAGGCA